UACGUAGGGUGCAAGCGUUGUCCGGAAUUAUUGGGCGUAAAGAGUUCGUAGGCGGUCUGUCGCGUCCGUUGUGAAAAGCCUGGGGCUCAACCCCAGGUCUGCAGUGGAUACGGGCAGACUAGAGUCAGGUAGGGGGAGAACGGAAUUCCUGGUGUAGCGGUGAAAUGCGCAGAUAUCAGGAGGAACACCGGUGGCGAAGGCGGAUCUCUGGGCCUUACCUGACGCUGAGGCGCGAAAGCUAGGGGGAGCAAACAGG
rnacentral:rRNA from 1 species